GACGAACGCUGGCGGCGUGCUUAACACAUGCAAGUCGAACGGAAAGGCCCUGCUUUUGUGGGGUGCUCGAGUGGCGAACGGGUGAGUAACACGUGAGUAACCUGCCCUUGACUUUGGGGUAACUUCAGGAAACUGGGGCUAAUACCGGAUAGGAGCUCCUGCUGCAUGGUGGGGGUUGGAAAGUUUCGGCGGUUGGGGAUGGACUCGCGGCUUAUCAGCUUGUUGGUGGGGUAGUGGCUUACCAAGGCUUUGACGGGUAGCCGGCCUGAGAGGGUGACCGGCCACAUUGGGACUGAGAUACGGCCCAGACUCCUACGGGAGGCAGCAGUGGGGAAUAUUGCACAAUGGGCGGAAGCCUGAUGCAGCGACGCCGCGUGCGGGAUGACGGCCUUCGGGUUGUAAACCGCUUUCGCCUGUGACGAAGCGUGAGUGACGGUAAUGGGUAAAGAAGCACCGGCUAACUACGUG
rnacentral:rRNA from 1 species